rnacentral:misc_RNA from 1 species
UAACCUGCUUUUUACAGCUGAGGUUGAAAGGUUGAAGGUCAGAAAAUGAAAAAAACAAACAAGAAAUACAUGUAUGUUAAUGGAGUUCAUUUCAGAAUACUUCAUGCAGAUAAAAAUUGUAAUGAUAGUAGGUUGUAGAUGGAUCUUGCAGUAUGUUACCAUGGUUGUCAGUAAAAUGUCUUGAGAAUCAUAAACGAUUAAAAAAUAUUUUACUGUCCAUGUUUUGUUAAGUUUGUUUCAUUGUGAAGCUAAAGGUUGAAUUUGAAACUGCAGUAGAAAAAUAAACCAAAAUCUAUUAAUACCUUUCUGACAUUUUUAGAAAAUUAAAACACAGAUUUAGUCCUGACUUUUUAUUUUAAAAUUUAUUAAUUUGGUUAUACAUGUAUUUUAAUUAAGAACAUUCAUAUGAAUAAAAUCUAUUGCAAGAUCAAAUCAACAACUUAGCUAAAAUAUGAGCAUCUACCCAAGACCUCAGGGAGAUAACUCUGUUGUAUUUUUUCCCCUCGUUUUUAAUGAGGUCAGUCACGGUGCUCAUAUGUUCAUUACCUGCUUGUAAUCCUUCACCUUACAAAUGCAAGUUAUUAAAAUUCAAGUACU